UACGAAGGGGGCGAGCGUUGUUCGGAUUUACUGGGCGUAAAGGGCGUGUAGGCGGCGCCGCAAGUCGCGUGUGAAAGCCCCGGGCUCAACCUGGGAGGUGCGCGCGAGACUGUGGUGCCGUGGAGGUCGGAGAGGAGCGUGGAAUUCCCAGUGUAGAGGUGAAAUUCGUAGAUAUUGGGGAAGAACACCGGUGGCGAAGGCGGCGCUCUGGACCGAGACUGACGCGUGAGG
rnacentral:rRNA from 1 species